rnacentral:lncRNA from 1 species
CUGGAUACUAUCAAGCAAUCCAGUCGCCUCCCAGAAACGAAGUUGAAAGACCUAAGAGUUAGAUUGUACAACAUGCUAAGACAGAAAAAAUUACCUUAAAACAAUUUCAGGAGUUGGUGGGGCACCUGAAAUUUGCUUGCAAAGUGGUGGCGCCAGGCAGCCCCUUUUUGCAGCAUUUUUGCAAUGCCAUGAAGGGCCUCACAAAGCAGCAUCACAGGAGAAGACUUACAAUAGGGAUCAAGGAGGACAUUAGAGUAUAGAUACGCUUCCUUGAGGAAUUCAAUGGAUUUUCAUUCUGGAGGGAGGACAGAAGGCUGGGCUUAGAAUUACAGGUGGAAACUGAUGCAGCCGGAUCAAUGGGUUAUGGCAUAUAUUACAGCGGGAAAUGGUGUGCAGAAAAGUGGCCAGAUGAAUGGCUAACUUCCAGAGUUACAAUGGACCUCAUGUUUUUGAGCUUUUUCCAACAGUUUGGACGUUAUGGCUGUGGGCAGAUGAGUGGGCUAUCAGAUAGGUUUAGCUGUUAAAUGAAUUAGUUGUUUGUUAGAAUAAAUAUGUCUGUUAAGUUAAAGGAUAAUAUGCUAACGUAACUAAGUCAAGUACAUGUUUAUAUAUAAAGCACCAAAUGUCAAAGCACUGUGAGUUUAUUCUAUUCUGCAUGUUUUAAACAGUAAAAAUUAUUUAAUGUUUUUAAAGAAGACCAAGUUAUCAUUUUAUUUACUUUCAGCUGCUGGCACACAUAUACACACAUGGGAGAAUUUUUACUCUGAGUAUUUUUUUAUUAUAACUCCUGAAACCUCUGUGUGCAAUCUGUCAGUUACAUUUAAUAUAUAUUUUUAUAACCAAACCAACAGACUGAAAGACAACAAGGGCUGCAGAAGGACCAAAUUGACUGAAACAGCCAGUGAGUUUUGCCUCUCGCCAUUGAUGUGCACUGCAUAUGUAUGUGUGAAGCAGCCCUCCUGUUCUCUUUACCUGCAAAUAUAUCUCAUAACUGGAGUAUACAGCCAAAUCUCAGUUCUUCCAGAAAGGGCAUUUUGACACAGUGGGACACGGUGUUGAAAAAAAAAAUUGUCAAGUGCUGCCAGCUUUUCGCUCCUACCUGAGAACUAACAAAGAGAACAGCAAAGAGCAAAACAAAAAAACACAAUGGAACAAAAACAAAAGAACGUCUUAUAUCUUGCAUAAAAAGCCUUGUAUACAAGCUCUCACACAUAACAGAAACUUUAUGUGCAUAAACCACUUCUGAAGCAAAGAAAGAAAGAAAGAAAGAAAGAAAGAAAGAAAGAAAGAAAGAAAGAAAGAAAGAAAGAAACACACACACACCACUUCCCUGCCUCCCAUCCUCUCUCUCUCUCUCUGAAAAUAAAAAUGCACAAAAGUGUUUAUGAUCCCA